UACAGAGGUCCCAAGCGUUGUUCGGAUUCACUGGGCGUAAAGGGUGCGUAGGUGGUGAGGUAAGUCGGAUGUGAAAUCUCCGGGCUCAACCCGGAAAUGGCAUUGGAAACUACCUUGCUUGAGGAUUUGAGGGGCAACUGGAAUUCUCGGUGUAGCGGUGAAAUGCGUAGAUAUCGAGAGGAACACCUGCGGCGAAGGCGGGGUUGCUGGGCUGACACUGACGCUGAAGCGCGAAAGCUAGGGGAGCGAACGGG
rnacentral:rRNA from 1 species